CAGUAGCCGCGGUAAUACGAGGGGAGCUAGCGUUGUUCGGAAUUACUGGGCGUAAGGCGCGCGUAGGCGGCUUUUUAAGUCAGAGGUGAAAGCCCGGGGCUCAACCCCGGAAUUGCCUUUGAAACUGGAAAGCUAGAAUCUUGGAGAGGUCAGUGGAAUUCCGAGUGUAGAGGUGAAAUUCGUAGAUAUUCGGAAGAACACCAGUGGCGAAGGCGACUGACUGGACAAGUAUUGACGCUGAGGUGCGAAAGCGUGGGGAGCAAACAGGAUUAGAUACCCGAGUAGUCCCUGUCUCUUAUAC
rnacentral:rRNA from 1 species